CGAACGAGUUUAGGCUCGUGGCGUACGGAUCCAGUAACACGUGGAUAACCUACCCUUAGGACUGGGAUAACCCUGGGAAACUGGGGAUAAUACUAGAUAGGCAAUUUUUCCUGGAAUGGUUUUUUGUUUAAAUGUUUUUUCGCCUAAGGAUGGGUCUGCGGCCGAUUAGGUAGUUGGUUAGGUAACGGCUUACCAAGCCAUUGAUCGGUACGGGUUGUGAGAGCAAGAGCCCGGAGAUGGAACCUGAGACAAGGUUCCAGGCCCUACGGGGUGCAGCAGGCGCGAAACCUCCGCAAUGUGAGAAAUCNNGNCNNNGGGAUCCCAAGUGCCAUUCUUAACGGGAUGGCUUUUCAUUAGUUAAA
rnacentral:rRNA from 1 species